GCCCAGAUAGCUCAGUCAGUAGAGCGUCAGACUUUUAACCUGAGGGUCAAGGGUUCAAGUCCUGUCCCGGUG
rnacentral:tRNA from 1 species